UACGUAGGGUGCGAGCGUUGUCCGGAAUUAUUGGGCGUAAAGAGCUCGUAGGCGGUUUGUUGCGUCGGCUGUGAAAUCCCGAGGCUCAACCUCGGGUCUGCAGUCGAUACGAGCAAACUAGAGUGUUGCAGGGGAGACUGGAAUUCCUGGUGUAGCGGUGAAAUGCGCAGAUAUCAGGAGGAACACCGGGGGCGAAGGCGGGUCUCUGGGCAACAACUGACGCUGAGGAGCGAAAGCGUGGGGAGCGAACAGG
rnacentral:rRNA from 1 species